UGAGAAGCUUGAUCCUCUGGCACUGUUUAGUUCUUGAUGGGAAACUGAAUGGGACUAUCAUAUAUAACAUGAUAACUUCAAAGGCAAUUUUUGCUCCAUCGUCUUCCCAAGCAAACUAACAUAAAAUCUGUGGGAUCUGUGAAUUCUCAGCUUCCCAGUGCUGCCUGCGAUGCAAAUUGCUCUUCAAAGGAAACUGAAAAGAAACACAAAAGAGUUCAGAAAGUCACAAUGUGAAGGCUCGAUCUAUUUGCAAAAGAGCAUUCCUGGCAAGCACUGAACAUUUGGACUCCUCAUCAAGUGACAUAAAUAAGGCUUUCAGGACUCAUCCUGUAGCCUCUAUGAAGUAUAAAAUCCCGGGGAAAAGAUCUUUCCCCCAGUGUCAUGGUUAUUUUAUAUGUAUUGAGGUGUGUGUCUAUAGGAAUGUGUAGUGUAUUUUGAUAUUCAUAGUUGUUACUGGCAUGUGUUUCAUGAAGGUGAAGAUGGGAAUACUGGCUUUCAUAUAUAUAUUUGUAUGAAAGCCUUGUCCUGUUCAGAAAAGCAAAUAUACAGAACAAGAAGUUUGUGGAACAUGUGCAUACCUACUCACUACUAAAUGCUUUUUAAUAUCUUCUUGUCCACAAUAAAACCAAUUUGUGUCUGAGGUAGUUCA